rnacentral:rRNA from 1 species
AGUCGUACGGGCCGCAAGGCCAGUGGCGCAAGGGUGAGUAAGGCGACGGCAAUCAACCCCACGGUUGGGUGUAGCCGCGAGAAAUCGCGGGUAAUCCCCAGCGACGCACUCGGGCGGCAUCACCCGAGUGCCAAAGGUCCGCCGCCGUGGGACGAGCCGUCGUGGUAUUAGGUAGUUGGCGGGGUAACGGCCCACCAAGCCGACGAUGCCUACCGGGCGUGCGAGCGUGGCCCGGCACACUGGGACUGAGACACUGCCCAGACUCCUACGGGAGGCUGCAGUCGAGAAUCUUCGGCAAUGGGCGAAAGCCUGACCGAGCGACGCCGCGUGGAGGAUGAAGGCCUUCGGGUUGUAAACUCCUGUCGAGGGGAAAGAAAGACUCGCAAGAGUCUUGACUGAUUCCUGGAGGAAGCACGGGCUAAGUUCGUGCCAGCAGCCGCGGUAAGACGAACCGUGCGAACGUUAUUCGGAAUCCCUGGGCUUAAAGCGCGUGUAAGCGGAUCAACGCGUCGGCGCUUAAAUUCCCCGGGUCAACCCGGGAAACGGCGCCCAUACGGCUGAUUUUGAACCACGUAAGGGGACCUUGAACUUUCCGUGGAACGGUGAAAUGCGUUUAAAUUUGAAAGAACCCCCCUUGGGAAAACCAAGUUCUUGGAACUUUUUUACCCUUAAAAACCCAAA